rnacentral:tRNA from 1 species
UCCCUGGGGGCUCAGACAGUAAAGCAUCUGCCUGCAGUGCAGGAGGCCUGGGUUCGAUCCCUGGGUUGGGAA